GAGGCAAAGUUCUGAGACACUCCGACUCUGAAUAUGAUAGAAGUCAGUGCACUACAGAACUUUGUCUC
ensembl:miRNA MIR148A microRNA mir-148a